AACGAACGCUGGCGGCAGGCUUAACACAUGCAAGUCGAACGGUUGUAGCAAUACAGCAGUGGCGCACGGGUGGGUAACGCGUGGAUAUCUGCCUUUUGGUUCGGAAUAACUCCGGGAAACUGGAGCUAAUACCGGAUGGUUCCUACGGGAUAAAGAUUUAUCGCCAAAAGAUGAGUCCGCGUACGAUUAGCUAGUUGGCGGGGUAAUGGCCCACCAAGGCGACGAUCGUUAGCUGGUCUGAGAGGACGAUCAGCCACACUGGGACUGAGACACGGCCCAGACUCCUACGGGAGGCAGCAGUGGGGAAUAUUGGACAAUGGGGGCAACCCUGAGCCGGCCAUGCCGCGUGAGUGAUGAAGGCCUUCGGGUUGUAAAGCUCUUUUGGCGGGGACGAUGAUGACGGUACCCGCAGAAUAAGCCCCGGCUAACUUCGUGCCAGCCGCCGCGGUAAAAC
rnacentral:rRNA from 1 species